rnacentral:lncRNA from 1 species
GCCGUCCGGGGGUGCAGGGCCGCCCCCCACUUCAAAGGCGCCCCCACAGCGGCCGGAGGGACCCGACCCCCGCUGCCUUCGCCCCUGCUCGAGACCAGGUCACUCUGGCCGCGACUUCCCGCUCUCACUUCCCACGGUCCCCUCUCCCGCCUCCCCCAAGCCUUCCCUGUCCCCUCCUUCCGCCUGCCCUCCUGGCGUCCCUCUCCGAGGACCACCCCCUGGCGGGCGCCGGGAUCCGGAUGUUCCCUGGUCGCCCCACCCCUGUCGCCCCUGCAGCCGGUGACUGAGACCAUUGCGGGUGCCUGGAGCUGGGUGGAGCUGGACGAGGCCAGAGGCACUCUCCACCCCUGCUGUCCCCCGGCUCCCAGGCAGGAGAGAGGACUGGGGGAGCGGAGGGCGGGGCGGGCCUGGAGGGGAGCCUGCCCACCUCUCCGUCCUGUCCCCUGCCCCUCCUGCCCCCACUCUCUGUCCUGAGCACCCCCAGCAUCCUGCGACCGCGCGCCCCGCCUGCACUCCUGUUUGGUUUCCCAGUUCCUUCCUGCGUGAACCCUUGUUUGCCAUCGGGGGCUCUGAACCAUGUUAGUUUUGGAAUGCCUUUUUUAGCAUUCCACAUAGUAAGCAUUUGUAACUCUUUAGGACUGGUAUUUCAUGACUAAUUCUUAGAGGUCUUCCAAAAUACAAAGAACACAAAGUUACUUUUGUUUUUUUUAAAGAGAAUAAGGAGCAUCCUAUCUUGCAAUUACCACGUGAGCCCACAGGCCCUGUCACAUUUUUUCUAUAUUUUGAGACAUUUUGCUCCUUCAUCAUUCCGGGAAUCCUUUCGUCAUUACCCAGCAACUGCUCCCCACUGUGACCACAAUGACUACAAUAGUAAGUAAACGGAAGGAUGACGCCAUCAGCGGAAGGAAACCCUCGCUGGUUCCUCAGUUUCCCACAGGGCUGCCCAAAGUACCACCCUGUUUCAAGACUGGAGUAAGAGGGGCCUGCAGACCCAGCUCUCCCGAGACCCAGGUGAGGGUUCAGAAUCUUCCGUUUGUGCCCAUCAAGGCACAGAGAAGGAACCUGACAGAGAGAGAGGAAGGAGGAGGGACAGGCAGCCGGCUCCAGUGAUGGCGGGAGAGAGCCGAUCUUCAGAGGACCAGGUCCCAAACAGCAUCCUCACGCAAGGGUCAGUGAGGGAAGAGGACGUCUCUCACCCAGUCAGUCCUUCAGCAGGACAGACAUGUUCACCACAGCUGGGACCAGCGCCUGGACCAUCUCGUGUGACUAAAAGGACCCAGGACAGUAUUCAUCCAUCUUUUAUGAUGUCUGUGCUUCAGAACGUCCUUGACACAAAUACAGAGAGGGUUUCUAUGUUUAAAUUCUUAUUAAAAUUUCUAAUAAAGAUUUUUAUCAUCC